rnacentral:misc_RNA from 1 species
GCAAACUUGGUCAUUUAGAGGAAGUAAAAGUCGUAACAAGGUCUCCGUUGGUGAACCAGCGGAGGGAUCAUUAAAGAGUUCUGUAACUCCCAAACCAUUGUGAACAUACCCUACGUUGCCUCGGCAGGUCGCGCCUACCUCGUGACUACCCUGUAGUAACCUACCCUGUAGAUCAUACCUGGUAGACGCGGGUAAGCCUGUCGGUGGCCCAUUACAACCCUGUUUAGCAUUGCGUCUUCUGAGCAUACGAAAUGAAUUAAAACUUUCAACAACGGAUCUCUUGGUUCUGGCAUCGAUGAAGAACGCAGC